GCGGGGCUGCCCGGUUCGAUAGGUAAAUCAUCCCUGGGGCCGAUAAGCAUUCUCCUUGGGGACUGGCGCUGUCAUGAUCGUGGUCAUGGUAUCUGGUUCCCACCUGCACACGCAGGCUCUAGGAGGAUGAAUACGCCAACGGCCAUGGCGGCUCCGCA
rnacentral:other from 1 species